UACGUAGGGGGCUAGCGUUGUCCGGAAUCAUUGGGCGUAAAGCGCGCGUAGGCGGCCAGAUAAGUCCGGUGUGAAAGCCACAGGCUCAACCUGUGAAUGCCGCUGGAAACUGUCGGGCUAGAGUCCGGAAGAGGAGAGUGGAAUUCCCGGUGUAGCGGUGAAAUGCGCAGAUAUCGGGAAGAACACCCGUGGCGAAGGCGGCUCUCUGGGACGGUACUGACGCUGAGACGCGAAAGCGUGGGGAGCGAACAGG
rnacentral:rRNA from 1 species